rnacentral:rRNA from 1 species
AGGGAAGCUAAGCCGCGAGGUGGAGCAAACCCAAAAAAGUAAGCCUCAGUUCGGAUUGUAGGCUGCAACUCGCCUACAUGAAGUUGGAAUCGCUAGUAAUCGCGAAUCAGAAUGUCGCGGUGAAUACGUUCCCGGGUCUUGUACACACCGCCCGUCACACCACGAGAGUUUACAACACCCGAAGUCAGUGGCCUAACCGCAAGGAGGGAGCUGCCUAAGGUGGGGUAGAUGAUUGGGGUGAAGUCGUAACAAGGUAAC